rnacentral:rRNA from 1 species
GAUGAACGCUGGCGGCGUGCCUAAUACAUGCAAGUCGAGCGAACAGACGAGGAGCUUGCUCCUCUGACGUUAGCGGCGGACGGGUGAGUAACACGUGGAUAACCUACCUAUAAGACUGGGAUAACUUCGGGAAACCGGAGCUAAUACCGGAUAAUAUAUUGAACCGCAUGGUUAAAUAGUGAAAGACGGUUUUGCUGUCACUUAUAGAUGGAUCCCCGCCGCAUUAGCUAGUUGGUAAGGUAACGGCUUACCAAGGCGACGAUGCGUAGCCGACCUGAGAGGGGGAUCGGCGACACUGGAAAUGAGACACGGUCCAGACUCCUAAGGGAGGCAGCAGUAGGGAAUCUUGCGCAAUGGGCGAAAGCCUGACGGAGCAACGCCGCGUGAGUGAUGAAGGUCUUCGGAUCGUAAAACUCUGUUAUUAGGGAAGAACAAAUGUGUAAGUAACUAUGCACGUCUUGACGGUACCUAAUCAGAAAGCCACGGCUAACUACGUG